rnacentral:tRNA from 1 species
GGGCCUGUAGCUCAGUUGGUUAGAGCCGUCGACUCAUAAUCGACUGGUCGUAGGUUCGAGUCCUACCGGGCCCAUCA